ensembl:snRNA U1 U1 spliceosomal RNA
AUGCUUACCUGGCAGGGGAGAUUCCGUGAUCAAGAAGGCGGUUCACCCAGGGCGAGGCUCAGCCAUUGCACUCCGGCUGUGCCGACCCCUGCGAAUUGUGGGAAUGUUGACUGCAUAAUUUCUGGUGGUGGGGUACUGCGUUUGCGCUUUCUUUGU